rnacentral:rRNA from 1 species
UACAGAGGUCUCAAGCGUUGUUCGGAUUCAUUGGGCGUAAAGGGUGCGUAGGUGGUGAUGCAAGUCUGGUGUGAAAUCUCGGAGCUCAACUCCGAAAUUGCACCGGAUACUGCGUGACUCGAGGACUGUAGAGGAGAUCGGAAUUCACGGUGUAGCAGUGAAAUGCGUAGAUAUCGUGAGGAAGACCAGUUGCGAAGGCGGAUCUCUGGGCAGUUCCUGACAUGAGGCACGAAGGCCAGGGGAGCAAACGGG